UAAGGAAUAUUGGUCAAUGGACGCAAGUCUGAACCAGCCAUGCCGCGUGAAGGAUGAAGGUCCUCUGGAUUGUAAACUUCUUUUAUCUGGGACGAAAACGGGAUUUUUAUCUCAAUUGACGGUACCAGAGGAAUAAGCACCGGCUAACUCCGUGCCAGCAGCCGCGGUAAUACGGAGGGUGCGAGCGUUAUCCGGAUUUACUGGGUUUAAAGGGUGCGUAGGUGGGCUUAUAAGUCAGUGGUGAAAUCUCCGAGCUUAACUUGGAAACUGCCGUUGAUACUAUAGGUCUUGAAUUAUCUGGAGGUAAGCGGAAUAUGUCAUGUAGCGGUGAAAUGCUUAGAUAUGACAUAGAACACCGAUUGCGAAGGCAGCUUGCUAAGCUGUAACUGACGCUGAGGCACGAAAGCGUGGGGAGCAAACA
rnacentral:rRNA from 1 species